UUCUGCUUUGAUUCCCCUUCUCGGCCCCCUUCCCAAAGACAAGAAGGUAAUGGAAAAGCACUUACCUUUACCCGGCCAUCCGUGUCACCCCCGUGGGAACUCAGAAUGGCCCCAAAACCAAGCUCCAUUUCUAUAUACGCAUAUAUAUAUAUAUAUACACACAUACACAUAUAUAUAUACAUAUAUACACACACACCAAUCCGGGAUUUGUUAGAAAGAAAAACAAAACCAAAAGCCACAAACCACGCUCUAUGAGUUUCACCGAGAACAUGGCAACAUUAGCAGAAAAUACUCGGGGCUUUCGACGUGAAAUUUACUAGUUUAAAACUUUUGAAGGUUAUUUAUGUGGAUGGCCCGAAGCAAAAGCCCUGAGUGGCUCUCAGGGAGCACGUGAUGUCAUUAAACUAAGUUUUAUGGUUUGGGGGAGCUGACAAACCCACAAUAUAUUUACAUCAUAUAUAAUCUUAACUGUCCACCACCGCAGCUGCUUAGAGCUGUUUAACGCCGGGACAGCGGGACGGCCGCUUAGUGCGGAGCUCGGCGCUGCGCAGCGCGGACCCCCGACGACCCCCCAGAAGCAGCAGCCACCGCAAACACAACUCUCAGCCAAGAGCACAAAGAGCCCCGACCAUUUCGCGGUGACUGAUUUAUGGCGUUUUACAACCCCAUAAAAAGCUGUAACAACCAGCCAAAAGCCUUCGACACCGCUGGCACAUUUAGUCUAAUAAAUAAAACAUAAACAGUUAACUUUA